rnacentral:rRNA from 1 species
AACGAACGCUGGCGGCAGGCUUAACACAUGCAAGUCGAGCGCCCCGCAAGGGGAGCGGCAGACGGGUGAGUAACGCGUGGGAAUCUACCCAUCUCUACGGAAUAACGCAUGGAAGCGUGUGAUAAUACCGUAUACGUCCUUCGGGAGAAAGAUUUAUCGGAGAUGGAUGAGCCCGCGUUGGAUUAGCUAGUUGGUGGGGUAAAGGCCUACCAAGGCGACGAUCCAUAGCUGGUCUGAGAGGAUGAUCAGCCACACUGGGACUGAGACACGGCCCAGACUCCUACGGGAGGCAGCAGUGGGGAAUAUUGGACAAUGGGCGCAAGCCUGAUCCAGCCAUGCCGCGUGAGUGAUGAAGGCCCUAGGGUUGUAAAGCUCUUUCACCGGUGAAGAUAAUGACGGUAACCGGAGAAGAAGCCCCGGCUAACUUCAUGCCAGCCGCCGCCGUAAUAC